rnacentral:pre_miRNA from 1 species
GAUGCGAAUGUGGGUCUUGGCACUGGAAGAAUUCACAGAUAUAUGUAAAAAAUCGUGGGUCUCUCGGUGCCAAAGUCUACAACGCUGC